ensembl:lncRNA
ACCAGGCUAUGAGGGGUGGCCAGUCCUCUUCUGGCUGUACCAGGUAGAGAGGAACCAGGCUAUGAGGGGUGGCCAGUCCUCUUCUGGCUGUACCAGGUAGAGAGGAACCAGGCUCUGAGGGGUGGCCAGUCCUCUUCUGGCUGUACCAGGUAGAGAGGAACCAGGCUAUGAGGGGUGGCAAGUCCUCUUCUGGCUGUGCCGGGUGGAGAUUAUAAACCUGGCUAGGAACCAGGCUCUGAGGGGUGGACAGUCCUCUUCUGGCUGUACCAGGUAGAGAGGAACCAGGCUAUGAGGGGUGGCCAGUCCUCUUCUGGCUGUGCCGGGUGGAGAGGAACCAGGCUCUGAGGGGUGGCCAGUCCUCUUCUGUGCCGGGUGGAGAUUAUAACAGAACAUGGACGAGAUGUUAAAUCCAUUUGAUUUGAUUUUGAUUGGAUUAGUCUAGUUUGAGAAACAGACGCCUCACAAAUAUUUAAC